ACCUGCGUCCAUCACUAGGGAGCAGCUGACUAGCUGCUGCCAAAAACAGCCAGACAGCUCCGUCACAUACACUAGCAAGGGCGAAGAGAGUGGUCUCAGGGGAAGAAAGGGCCCUCCCCUCUCCUCAUCAGCUACAGGUGCAGAGAAGUGUUUGUAACAAGGGGUCUUGAAAAGGCAAGCAGAGGUGGAGACAGCGUUGUAGUAAUGAGAGAUCAUGGCUUCCCCAGAUGUGGAAUGCACAGUGGAGAAAAGUUCUUUGCCCAAAGCUGGUGCAGAUGAUUUGCGCCAGACAGUGCCAGCAGAUUCAUCUCUGGACGUUAAAUGCCCUUUGUGCUUGGAAAGAUUUGACAAUAUGUUUUGCUUAAACCCUUGCUUACAUAAGUCCUGCUUUUCUUCUAUCCAAGCAUGGUCAGAAGCCAAAGCAGAGUGCCCACUCUGCAAGCAGCCUGGCCAGUCUGUGUUUCACAGUGCAGGGGCUGGAGAAGAUUCUAAGGAGUAUGUCUCGAUGCCUUCAGAAAAUCACGCUUUGUCUAAACCUGGUCUGUGGGAACUUCCCUAUCCCACCUCAUGAGAACCUGAUACAGCAGUUUCUCUUUGCAAGAGUUCCUCAUCUCGACAGACUGAUGAUAUGACAUCAAAUAUUCAGUUUUCUGAUCAACGACUACAUCCAGGAGUUCACGAAAUUCAUGAAGUGAUGGGAUUGUUUGCAGUAAGGAGACAGCUUAGUGCAGAUAGAACAUACCUGGGACCAAGUCAGAGAGAGUCUGCAUUUGAUUUCAUCCCCGUUUUGCAGCGCUUUGGAGUACAGGUUCAAGAGGCUCAUCCUCACAGAGACUUUUCGGCCAGGUCACAGAUGCCAAGCCUAAUGAACAUGAUGGUGGUGCUUGUCUCUUCCGGUGUUUUACUAUUUGUCUGUUUUUAUUUGUAUUUAAGUGUUAUUCUGUUACAUAAAUAAAACCCAGUUGGGUUUCUCAGUA